rnacentral:rRNA from 1 species
GACGAACGCUGGCGGCGUGCUUAACACAUGCAAGUCGAACGAAGUGGCGAACGGGUGAGUAAUACGUGGGUAACCUGCCCUGCACUUCGGGAUAAGCCUGGGAAACUGGGUCUAAUACCGGAUAGUGUGGGAUGGGCCCGCGGCCUAUCAGCUUGUUGGUGGGGUAAUGGCCUACCAAGGCGGCGACGGGUAGCCGGCCUGAGAGGGUGGACGGCCACAUUGGGACUGAGACACGGCCCAGACUCCUACGGGAGGCAGCAGUGGGGAAUAUUGCACAAUGGGCGGAAGCCUGAUGCAGCGACGCCGCGUGGGGGAUGACGGCCUUCGGGUUGUAAACUCCUUUCACCAUCGACGCGGUAGAUGGAGAAGAAGCACCGGCUAACUACGUGCCAGCAGCCGCGGUAAUUC